GACGAACGCUGGCGGCGUGCUUAACACAUGCAAGUCGAACGAUGACGCCCGAGCUUGCUCGGUCUGAUUAGUGGCGAACGGGUGAGUAACACGUGAGCAACCUGCCCUUCACUCUGGGAUAACCUCGGGAAAUCGGGGCUAAUACCGGAUAUGAGCUCCUGUCGCAUGGCGGGUGUUGGAAAGUUUUUCGGUGAAGGAUGGGCUCGCGGCCUAUCAGUUUGUUGGUGAGGUAGUGGCUCACCAAGGCGAUGACGGGUAGCCGGCCUGAGAGGGCGACCGGCCACACUGGGACUGAGGCACGGCCCAGACUCCUACGGGAGGCAGCAGUGGGGAAUAUUGCACAAUGGGCGAAAGCCUGAUGCAGCGACGCCGCGUGAGGGAUGACGGCCUUCGGGUUGUAAACCUCUUUCAGCAGGGAAGAAGCGAAAGUGACGGUACCUGCAGAAGAAGCGCCGGCUAACUACGUG
rnacentral:rRNA from 1 species